rnacentral:rRNA from 1 species
UACGUAGGGCGCAAGCGUUGUCCGGAAUUAUUGGGCGUAAAGAGCUCGUAGGCGGUUUGUCGCGUCUGCUGUGAAAACUCGGGGCUUAACCCCGGGCCUGCAGUGGGUACGGGCAGACUAGAGUGCGGUAGGGGAGACUGGAAUUCCUGGUGUAGCGGUGAAAUGCGCAGAUAUCAGGAAGAACACCUAUGGCGAAGGCAGCACUCUGGGACGGUACUGACGCUGAGACGCGAAAGCGUGGGGAGCGAACAGG